AAUGGUGUCUGGCAUCUGACAUGUGGUGAUGAUAUUUGCCACAACGGUGAGGCUGAAGUGAUUGAAGGCCCGCUGUCUGUGCCAUUGAAAUGAAUAUAUU
rnacentral:sRNA from 1 species